rnacentral:tRNA from 1 species
AGGGGCGUCCGUUAACUGGUAAACGACUUCUCUCCAAAAGAAGUCCUGCAGGUUCGAGUCCUGCCGCCCCUG